rnacentral:rRNA from 1 species
CGCGAAUCGCCCUUGGGGGUGCCCGACGCUCGAUUUCUUUAAAUGCUUGCGACGGUAAUUCCGGAGCGUCUAGUGUCAGGUUAUUAAUCUGGCUGUCAUGAUGCCUAAAAAGCAUUGCAAUACCUGGGCCGGAUCAUACCGGUGUCCGACACCGCGGUAACACCGGCGGCUCGAGUGCUAACCGUUAUUAUUGUUGUCUAAAGGAUCUGUACCCGGCAGGGUAAUUCUCUUGGGAAAUCUGGUAGCUUAACUGUCAUGCUUUCACGACAUACUGCUUGGCUCUAGGCCGGGAGAGGUGAGAGGUACUUCAUGGGUACGGAUGAAAUCUUGUAAUCCUUGAAGGAUCUCCAGUGACAAAUGCGUCUCACCAUAACGAACCUUACGACCAGGGACUAAAGCUAAGGGCUCGAACCGGAUUAGAUACCCGGGUAGUCCUAACCGUAAACGAUACUCCCUAGGUGUCGGCCACUGUGCAACCGUGAUCAGUGCCAUAAGUAAACCGUGAAACUAGCCACCUGGGAAUUACUGUUGCAAGGAUUAAACUUAUAUGAAUUGUGGGGGGACCAC